AUUGAACGCUGGCGGCAGGCCUAACACAUGCAAGUCGAGCGGAUGAAGGGAGCUUGCUCCUGGAUUCAGCGGCGGACGGGUGAGUAAUGCCUAGGAAUCUGCCUGGUAGUGGGGGAUAACGUCCGGAAACGGGCGCUAAUACCGCAUACGUCCUGAGGGAGAAAGUGGGGGAUCUUCGGACCUCACGCUAUCAGAUGAGCCUAGGUCGGAUUAGCUAGUUGGUGGGGUAAAGGCCUACCAAGGCGACGAUCCGUAACUGGUCUGAGAGGAUGAUCAGUCACACUGGAACUGAGACACGGUCCAGACUCCUACGGGAGGCAGCAGUGGGGAAUAUUGGACAAUGGGCGAAAGCCUGAUCCAGCCAUGCCGCGUGUGUGAAGAAGGUCUUCGGAUUGUAAAGCACUUUAAGUUGGGAGGAAGGACAGUAAGUGAAUACCUCGCUGUUUUGACGGUACCAACAGAAUAAGCACCGGCUAACUUCGUG
rnacentral:rRNA from 1 species